AGACAGUGUGACUGAGUGUGGGAGAAGAAUGGCGCCGGCGGCUGAAGGAACAAGAACAGAAACCGCUGGAAAAGCUGAGCAGGUCCGGCAGCUCGUGUUGAGAGAAAUAGUAUUUAAAGAUCUGUAGACGGAAAUUUCAAAAUCGACAGAUGAAGGCCUUGUGGCCGAAGCAUUGACUUCUGUUCCUCGGAUGCUGCCUGACCUACAGUGCUUUUCCAGUGUCACACUUUUGAACUCUUGACUGUCCAGCAUCUGCAAUCCUCACUUUCACAUCAAUGUCUGACAGUGACACUGGGACAUCGGGACUGCAACGAAUUUUGAGUGUGAUUCUGUGAGAGGAGCAAAGCACUUGCUUCUUGCUCAAGUACAUUUUCAGAAUCCAUGGGACUGGAUGAGAGACCCUACGUUGCAGCGCAGUGAGUGUGGAUCCUGAAACAGUUAUACGGCCUGAAAAGAGGAAUUCACGGCAGGGUGGGGCUGUACCCACAUUUGUGUGCAGCUGAAGUUUUGGCCAUAGAGAAACCUGAGGAAUCCCGCUCCGUAAAGAAACCAUGGAAGUGUGGCAACUGUGGGAAAGGCUUCUGUGCCCCGUCUGCUCUGGAGACUCAUCGGCGCAGUCACAGCCGAUGCUGCUCCUCUCUCUGAAUGAAGAUUGAGCUUCACCCCAGACUGCAACUUUCUUCCUUUGUCCAACAUCUGUCCUGACCCUUCAAUGACUGAGGAACAUCCGCCUCCAGAAUGGUCACCGGCUCCUGCCUGCUG